UACGUAGGGGGCGAGCGUUGUCCGGAGUUACUGGGCGUAAAGCGCACGCAGGCGGUCUGUUAAGUUUGGAGUGACAGUUGGUGGCUCAACCACCAAAGUGCUUUGAAAACUGAUAGACUUGAGGGCUUCAGAGGGACACGGAAUUCCGGGUGGAGUGGUGAAAUGCGUAGAGAUCCGGAAGAACACCGGUGGCGAAGGCGGCCUGCUGGGCAGUAGCUGACACUGAGGCGCGACAGCGUGGGGAGCAAACGGG
rnacentral:rRNA from 1 species